UGGUAAGUAGUUUAAACAAAACAAAUGAUUUCGACUCAUUAGAUUA
rnacentral:tRNA from 1 species